rnacentral:rRNA from 1 species
AUUGAACGCUGGCGGCAGGCCUAACACAUGCAAGUCGAGCGAGCGGCGGACGGGUGAGUAAUGUAUGGGGACUGCCCGAUAGCGGGGGAUAACUACUGGAAACGGUAGCUAAUACCGCAUACUAUCGGAUAACCCAUAUGGGAUUAGCUGGUAGGUGAGGUAAUGGCUCACCUAGGCGACGAUCCCUAGCGGAUCUGAGAGGAUGAUCAGCCACACUGGGACUGAGACACGGCCCAGACUCCUACGGAGGCAGCAGUGGGGAAUAUUGGACAAUGGGCGAAAGACUGAUGGAGCCAUGCCGCGUGAAUGAAGAAGGCCCUAGGGUUGUAAAGUACUUUCAGUCGGGAGGCGUUACCGACAGAGGAAGCACCGGCUAACUCCGUGCCAGCAGCCGCGGUAAUAC